rnacentral:rRNA from 1 species
UACGAAGGGGGCUAGCGUUGCUCGGAAUCACUGGGCGUAAAGCGCACGUAGGCGGCUUUUUAAGUCAGGGGUGAAAUCCUGGAGCUCAACUCCAGAACUGCCCUUGAUACUGGGAAGCUUGAGUCCGGAAGAGGUGAGUGGAACUCCGAGUGUAGAGGUGAAAUUCGUAGAUAUUCGGAAGAACACCAGUGGCGAAGGCGGCUCACUGGUCCGGUACUGACGCUGAGGUGCGAAAGCGUGGGGAGCAAACAGG